AUCCAGCUAACGAGUCCCAAAUAGAACGAAACACGCGUCCUGAAU
rnacentral:hammerhead_ribozyme from 1 species